UGGGUAACCUGCCUCAAAGAGGGGAAUAGCCUCCCGAAAGGGAGAUUAAUACCGCAUAAUAUGUUUAAGUCGCAUGACUUUAACAUCAAAGGAUUUUCUUUUAAGAAAAUUCCACUUUGAGAUGGACCCCGCGGUGCAUUAGCUAGUUGGUGAGGUAACGGCUCACCAAGGCAACGAUGCGUAGCCGACCUGAGAGGGUGAUCGGCCACNUUGGAACUGAGACACGGUCCAGCUCCGUAGGNG
rnacentral:rRNA from 1 species